GGGGCUGUGGCGCAGUGGGAGCGCAUUUGUCUGGCAGACAAAGGGUCGCGGGUUCAAAUCCCGCCAGCUCCACCA
rnacentral:tRNA from 1 species